CAGAGGCACCUGGAAGCAGGAAGAGGAAGUGAAGAACAACCCUGCAGAGUCCUGCUGCUUUGAUUUUGGACUACAAAUCCCAGAGAACUUGGGGGCAGCAGGAAGAGGAAGUGAACACACAGCCCAUCCUGGUUACCUGCCAGAGAGCCCUGCUUUAGUACCCCCCAGCUUUUGGCCUGAAUUGCUGUGGGCAUGUGGCUGCAGUUCCUGAAUCAAAGGUUCAUCAUCAUUCCUUCCUCUCCAAAUAAAUGAAUCCCUGGAGGGCUCAUCGAGGAUGAUAUCCAUGUUUUCCUCUUUGGAAUGGCCUCGUUUGCAGUCCGAAGCAGACACUCAGUAUCGCUUCUGUAUUUCCCUCUGAAAACAUCUGAGUCACAUUUGCCUUUAAAGAAUCUGUCUGAGCAUGAGGAAACCAACUUCUUACAAGCUCAUGCUGCUGCGAUACUUUUAAUGAUGUUACUGGAGGAACUGCGGUGCAAGAAAAGAAGACAGCCACCUUAACAAGGGGCCAGUGGUAACAAGCAUAACAAAACAGUUCUGAGCCAUGCCAACCAGCACGGCCAGCUGCCCCUGGCAAGAUGCAGGCCAAUGCUGGAGUCUGGAUGCCAGGGGCAGGAGUUGAAGGGAUAAGAGUAAGGUUUGCAAUGUCAAAUUCACCCCAUUUCUGUAUGCUUGUGAACCUGAUUUUGGAGAUUGCAUUAAGAAAUAUUUACCAGAUAGUUUUAAUUGUUUGAAUCCAUAGUGCCUUUUUACUUCUUUGUUUUUGUUGUUUUUACCAUAGAGAUGACAAUCAUUUUCAUAGACCAGGACCCCAUUGUGCUAGGUGCUGUAUAACAAUAGAAGAGGAAGGUGGCCCCUUAUCCAGAGGGAUAGUCUGUACAUUAUUGUUGGUGUCACAUUUUUCCUCCUACCCAUUUGGAUGACUUAAACUUUCUUAACUAGGAGAACAACAAAAGUAACAACUAGUAAAUACAGCUUGUAAUAUGAGUUUUCAUAUGGGUAUUUAAUUUAUAUUGAAAUUAAUGGAAACUUCAUAAUUUACUAACUUCUUUGUUAAUAAACUGCUCAUUCAAGUAUUUAAAAUUAUAAUCCCAUGAAUAACAGUCAAAAUAACUCUUCAUAUUUAUUUGUAAAAUCUCUUUAUAUAUGUAAUAGAUAUACAUAUAUAGUUGAUAUGUGUGUGUGUGUGUGUGUGUAUAUACACACACACACAUAUAAGCUAUAUAUAUGUGUGUGUGUGUAUAUACACACACAAAUAUAGCUUAUAUACACUCACACAUAUAUAUAGCUUAUAUGUAUAAAGAUAUAUAUAAAGAGAUUUCACAAAUAAAUAUGAAGCUGUAUAUAUUAUAGAUUAACUCUCUUUUUGUAGUACUUGACUAACUCUAGUAAUAUUUAGAACAUCUUCACUUUUUCUCAAUGAUUAAACAUUCUUAGCACUGUAGCUCAUCUGCCUAGCUAAACCAGUUUCAGUGACUAAAGCCAAUGAACAGUUAGAAAAUCUCUGCCAGUUUUCUCUGCAACACAGACGAAGGAGACUGUUCAAAGCUAACUAUUGACAUUGGUUAAAGUCAGCAUGGUUGACAUCCAGAAAUGCUCUGCUUGCCGGCAGUGCUUUAGCUUCAAAAUUGAUCCAUGACACAGAGCUGGAAAUGAGAACAAAUGAGAUCAAAACAUUAUGAAGAUUUAAAGUCUAGCUGGAAACAUCCUACAAGAGUCAAAUAUUGACUAGGACUGAACAUUCAGAUCUUGUAUAAACUUGUUUGAGUUGAAAUGUUGAAUAUAGGAGAAAAUAUCAGCUCUCAUAAAUGCUACUGUUCUUUAAGUUUUCAUGUGAAACUACAAGGUUCUUGAUAUGAGAGAUGGGUGCUUACUCUGGAUCUGACCCACCUCCCUGCUCCCAUUUGGGGUAAUUUUCAAUAGCAAUUUGCAAUUCACCACUUGAGCCAAGUUCUUCCUUAUUUAUGCUUUAAAAUGUGGCAAUUUGUAAGCCCUUGUCUGUCUUCUGUGUCUUCUUCUGCCAGCGACACACAAUAGGGACAAACACACCCAGGUGCCCAGAUUGAAAAUGGUUAGGCUGGACUUAGGGAAAUGUAGAGUGGGAAAAGGGGAAGAAUCUCUUUCAAAAGAAAUGGAACUGUUCCAAGAAGUUGUCUUUUUAAAAAAAAUGUGGUCCUUGUCAGUGCCAGAAACUCUCUUUCUUGCACCUUUAAACUGUGAGAUUCAUUUUAUAUUAGCCAUAUUGAAAUGGACUGAUCUUUUGGGUUGCACUAUGCUAUAUUAAGAUCCAUAUUUCAAACAAUAAAUGUUUUCCAUUUAUUCCACCUAGUUUCCUUUUCUACUGAUCCAAACUUUAAGGCAGUUAGCAAAACCUUUCAGUAAUAUGAAGUACUUUUUUCAUCUUGUGCCAGCACUGUAAUGCCUCCAAUAAUUUAUGUUUAAUUUUUAAUACAGUUAUCUAUCAUGAGUAAUUAUGUGGGCUGCUCACAAUAUUCCAUUUUCUGCUAUGUGGUUUUUUUUCUGAUGA